AUGAAGAAAAACAUACAACAGUUUGUACAAUCUUGUCUAAUUUGUCAGCAAGCAAAACCAGAAAGAGUAGCUUAUCCAGGACUGCUAUCUCCUCUUCCUGUCCCUGCUAGGGCUUGGGAAACUGUCACUAUGGAUUUCAUAUCAGGGUUGCCCUCCUCUGACCAAUAUGACUGCAUUAUGGUGGUUAUCGACAAGUUCACUAAAUAUGGGCAUUUCAUUCCUGUCAAGCAUCCAUAUACUGCCCAGAAGAUUUCUGAACUGUUUUUGGACAAUAUAUACAAACUCCAUGGCAUGCCUCGUUAUAUUGUGUCAGAUCGAGAUCAUGUGUUCACCAGCAACUUUUGGCAGGCCCUGGUGAGAAGAACAGGGGCUGUACUUAACAUGAGCACGGCAUAUCACCCAGAAAUAGAUGGACAGACAGAGCGUGUCAACCAGCAAGUGGAAUGUUUCCUGAGGUGUUUUAUCAGCGCUCACCCAAAGAAGUGGUUUAAAUGGCUUUCUCUUUGUGAAUUCUGGUACAAUACAAACUGGCAUUCAGCACUCGAAAAAUCACCCUUUGAGGUUCUUUAUGGCCAUGGUCCGAGGCACUUUGGCAUUUCAGCUUCGGAUGCAGUUGAUCCUGUUGAUCUGCAGUAG
rnacentral:rRNA from 1 species